CCAUGAUGGCCAAGAGGACCAUCGAGCUCAAGGAAAUCCGGGGGAUGUCGGACGAGCUCAUCAACGAGACGGUGGUGGAUUUGAAGGGCGAGCUCUUUCUCAUGCGCUGCAAGAAGGUAACCCGGCAGGACUACCGUGUCAGCGACUACAAGAACAUGAAAAAGAAGGUAAGCUAAGCCUAGAAACAGCUUUGCGGCUAAGCCCACGCUCUCCUACUUACCGCAGAUUGCUCGGAUGCUCACCGUGAAACGAGAGCGAGAGAUUGAGCGCGGGAUAAAACCACGCGAGUCGAGGAAGCUCAAGGCCAAGUGGAAGAGAAGCAUUGUCUACCGGCCGCCACC
rnacentral:lncRNA from 1 species